CAUGUCUGUAUGAAUCAUAUAUAUACAGUCUAGCCUGCCCACUGACAUAGUUUAACGGCCGCGGUAUACUGACCGUGCGAAGGUAGCAUAAUAAUUAGUCUUUUAAUUGGAGGCUGGUAUGAAUGGUUGGACAAGAGCUAAUCUGUCUUUAUUAUAAUAGUUGAACUUAACUUUUAAGUUAAAAGGCUUAAAUAAAUUAGCGGGACGAUAAGACCCUAUAAAGCUUUACAUAAAGCUUUGUGUUAGGUGAAAUUGGUAAUUAAUAUUUAAAAUAAAGUGUAUGUUGUGCUGGGGCGGCAAGGGUAAAAUUUGUAACUGUUCUUGUUUUUGGACAAUUAUUUUUGUGUUGUAAAGGAUCCUUUCUAGUGAUUAAAAGAUUAAGUUACUUUAGGGAUAACAGCGUAAUUUUCUUUGAGAGUUCAUAUCGAGAAGAAAGAUUGCGACCUCGAUGUUGAAUUAAGAUUUCUUUAUGGUGUAGCAGCUAUUUUAGAGGGUCUGUUCGACCUUUAAAUUCUUACAUGAUUUGAGUUCAGACCGGCGUGAGCCA
rnacentral:rRNA from 1 species